rnacentral:rRNA from 1 species
GAAACUAACCAGGAUUCCCCCAGUAACGGCGAGUGAACGGGGAGUAGCCCAGCAUCGAAGCCUAUGCGUGUUUUCGUAUAAGGCAAUGUGAUGUUAUGGGGUGUACCUAGGGUCACUGGUCAACUCGAAGUCCAAUAUUGAAUGUGGCUUUUGUAUUUGGCCCAGAGCGGGUGAAAGGCCCGUGCGAGUUGACUGUUAGAUAAGUCUAGUGGCCUCUAGAUGUGCACUCUAUGGAGUCGGAUUGCUUGAGAAUGCAGUCCAAAGUUGGUGGUAAACUCCAUCAAAGGCUAAAUACUGGCACGAGUCCGAUAGUAAACAAGUACCGUGAGGGAAAGUUGAAAAGUACUCUGAAGAGAGAGUAAAUAGUACGUGAAACCACUUACAGGUAAACUGGUGGAGUCCAGCUGCGUGUCUUUGGGACUUAGCCGGCGUGUCUUAUGCACCCAGUAGUUUGUCUUCAAUGGCAAAUUGAGUUCGCGCUCAAUUCAUGAUCAGCUUGUAGUUGAUGUGAGCUUCUGGUAGUUGUAUUUGCAUACCGGUGUCAUUUCCUUUGACUGACAUCACAGUCAAUAUCGCUGCUAAUGUGUGAUGAUCAAACCGUGAAAUGGGGAGCCUUGAAGUUCACCUUUUACGUGGAUGGCAGGUGGUCUAAUUAUUCGCCUCGUGUGGAUAUUUAGACUUAAAAAUGGUUGCGGCCAGCCGAUCAUCAUGCCGAUGUUUUGCAUUCAAUUAUGCAGUAUAUUGAAAAUGAGUAGCGCUGCCAAGCAAUUCGAUUAUUCGGCUGACUCAUGUUGGAUUAUGUUUAAAGCGUGUCCGAUAUGCAGUUCGGUUCGAGUGGUUGGGUUGUGAAACAGUGUUCUUACAUAAACUGUGGUGUUGUGGUA